CCUACGGGUGGCUGCAGUGAGGAAUAUUGGACAAUGGACGCAAGUCUGAACCAGCCAUGCAGCGUGAAGGAAGACGGCUCUAUGGGUUGUAAACUGCUUUUGUACGAGGGUAAACUCAGAUACGCGUAUGUGUCUGAAAGUAUCGUACGAAUAAGGAUCGGCUAACUCCGUGCCAGCAGCCGCGGUAAUACGGAGGAUUCAAGCGUUAUCCGGAUUUAUUGGGUUUAAAGGGUGCGUAGGCGGUCGGAUAAGUUAGAGGUGAAAUCCCGAGGCUCAACUGUGGAAUUGCCGUUGAUACUGUCAGUCUAGAGAGCAGUAGCGGUAGGCGGAAUGCAUGGUGUAGCGGUGAAAUGCUUAGAGAUCACACAGAACACCGAUUGCGAAGGCAGCUCACCAAGCUACGUCUGACGUUGAGGCACGAAAGCGUGGGGAGCAAACAGGAUUAGAUACCCUGGUAGUC
rnacentral:rRNA from 1 species